CGUUUGCUCUUCCGAUGUUCAUUGUCCCACCAUUUAUGACCCAUAUUAUGGAUCAGUGUUUUUGAAAGUGUGGUCUAGUGCUGCAUUUUAAUAAUCUCUCCAAGUGGUCAUUUUGCCUGUUUGAGCGCCUCAGCUUUAAGACAGUGAGGUUGAAGAUGAGACUUAUUCUUACUUGUCUUUGAAUUCUCAGACCUACCCUAGCUCCUGGCACAUUGUAGUUGAUCAAGUUUUGUUUGUUUGUUUGUUUUGUUUU